UUGUUAUCUUGUUGAUGUUUGUGAUAUUUGUGUAGGCGUGCAGGGUGGGGUGAAGCUGUUUAUGAUUUGAUGGAGCUAAUUUUUGCAGACUAACUAUUGCUUUGUUUUGCUUUCAAAGAGCUCUGGUCUUUGGAGUUCGGCCAAACAGAAAACAAAACUAAAGCUCAGUCCUUUACUUUUCUGAGAGACACAAAAGCUUGAGCCUUCUUCUAGCUUCUUCCAAUAUCCUAUCCAAACUAUUGGGUUGUCACUCUCUUGCAUGUUUGCUUUUUCUUCUGCAGCUUGGUGUGGGUUUGCAGUUUGAGUCUGAUCUUAGGGUUUUGGAACCUACUCUUUCGGUUGAGGUUUCCGUUUAUCUGUUUGUUUUUUCCUGUGCUUAGAGUUUUUGUGUGGUUGAUCUGCCUGGUACAUGGAAUGUUAGGUUUUCCUUACAAAGUCGAUCUUCAUGCAUCGGCUAAAGAAACGAUUGGAAUACUACUGAAAAUUUCAUGAUAUCCUUCUUUUCUCUAAGUAUGUAGCGGGGUUUCGAUCAGUUCUGAUGUGCCAGGAAGAGGAAGAGGUAUCUGGAAGAUUUUUCCUUUUCUUUACACUAGUCUAUCAUCUGUAAAAUUUGACCGUUCCUAAAUAUUGGCUUAAACUCUUAAACCUUAUAUGCAAAAAUUCUUGGUUUAAAGUUUCAAGCUUCAAAGGAUUUUGAUUAUUAUUUAAAGCUUAGUAUCCAGAUUGUUCUCAGUCGAUCAACUGUCAAAUUAUUCAAGGCUGUUCUACAUGUAUAGAUUGGCUUUAAUAGUAUGUAUGCUCCAACAUUAUAAUUUUUCUUGAAGCACUUUCUACUGAUCUGGCUUUCACAAGUCCAUGAAUUUGAUUUUUCACUUGUCAGAUUUCUAUUCAGAUUUGGAGUUUCCAUGAUCACCAACUUUGCAACCCAUAUGUUUGCCCAGUUAUUUGGUCUAUACAAUAUGAUUUAACUCCUUUGAUCUACAAGCUUAGGUUCUAUAUAUGGAAGGUUACAUAUUGUUGAUGUUGGGGUAGUAGAUAAAUUUCGUAUCAGCCUGUCAUCCCUGGUGUACCUUUAAUCCAUGGAGCGAGAUCCCUAUCUUGCAUGUGAUAUUGUGUUCAUUAGUAUCAUGUGGCAGAUUUUGGUUACUAGCUACGAGAACAUAUAUUAGUAAUUGUUGUUGAUUUGUGAUUCUAGUGCUGUAGGUCCUAGCUAUGUCAUAUUUGAUCUUAACCAACAAAGUAAAAUUGGCUCAGUCUGAUACUUUUUCUUGGUGAAUGGUGAUGCUCUUCGAAGUCUGUUUUUGUGCCUGAAUAGGUGAAUUUGUAUGAUGAAGUUUUGGAACAUUGAUACGUUUAUAUCAUUUGCCCUUAUUUUCUUUUCUUUUUGUCUUACAUUUUUUAGGCAUUGACAUGAAAUGUGCGGAACUUGUAUGUCAAUUUUCUUCAUAAUUGUAUUGUGAUUAGUGGAAAACAUGUUAAUCCGGCUUUUAGCAGUUACUGUAUGUGUAUAUAUGACUAUGAGCUGAGCUAUUGGUGGUUUGGAUGACAGAGAGAGAGAGUACACUUGUCAGCAUCCAUGAAAACCCCUCUCUUUGUCAUCGUACUGCUCUUGUCCAGGUCUAUCCUCGAUGCUAUGUUUCAUGUAUUUGCAUCUUUGGGAUGUAAACUAGCUGAUAAGCUUAUAACAUUGUGUAAUUUGUCAUUUAUCUUUGUCAAUCAUAUUAUUUAUUCCAGAAUGGUUUCCAUUAGCCUUUUUGUUGGUUGAUGUCUUGUUAUGAUAUGGAGAUUACAUGUUGAUGAAGUAGAGUGGUCAUUGUUCAUGGUUCAAUCUCUUAGUACAUCAACAUGGAUGCAUUAUCUUGUUAAUUACAUUCAGUUGCAUGUUUGGAAAACUAAAUAUUUUGGCUUAGUGUUCAGCAAUUCAAUUUUACAUAAUUAAAUUUUUUGACCUCAAUAAAAUUUUGACUAAAGUAAUUUCAAUAAAAAUUUCUAUGUACUUUUAAUCUUCUUUUUUUUUUUUUCUUUUCUUUUGUAAGAACUAUGUCAAUAGGACUGGAACAUGAGGUGUGGCAGUGAUAUAAGAUGAUUAGAUUAGGUAGAGAUCAACAUUCAGGUAUGAGUAGUAGGGAUGCAAAACAUUCAACAGUCGGCUUUGUUUCACUUGAAGUAUGGAAUUGAUAUUUCACUGCUGACCACAAAACCAAACGUUAGAGUUCAUUUGAGCUAAACAACUGGUAUGCGAUAUUAUACAUGAGAAUUUAUUUGCUUGCCAAGUUUUUCAAAACUAUUGUGUUGGAUAUAGUUAAAUUAUUACAUAUGUACAAGUAAUAAACAGACAGAGGACUGUAUGGAAACAGCAACAGCAUGAUUGCUAAUAUGAUUACAAACAAUGAUAGUCAUGAGCUUGAGGAACAUCAAAGGGAAGUGGUGAAUUGGAGGUUGCAUGUUGAUGUUGUGACUCGAGACUUUCUUGCCUGUGAUACUGUGUUAAUUUCAUGUGGUGGUUUUGGUGACUUUUUUCCGGCAGCAGGUGGGUUUUGAGGACCAGUUGGUAGUACAUUAUAUGUAGUUGUACAUUUAUGAUCAUGGUUGAUGUGUGAUGUACUGUUGGUCUUUUUUUUUUUUUUUGUCAUUUUACUAUUGGUCAUAACUAUGUUUAUCUGAUUAUAUCAACCAAGUACGGUAUUUCCAUCUUUUCCUUCUUUUGCUUUUGCUUUCUGUUUUUGGCUGUUUGUUUCUUUUCUUUUGAUUUCUCUAGUCUUCUUUUGCUUGCUUUGCAGACUUUGUCUGUAUUGGGCUGUGUCCCAUGAACUGCUGUGUCCAAUCAACUGUUGUUUGGUCCAGUCUGGGGGUUUCUCUAGGUAUGCACUGCUGUAGUCAUUUUCUUUUGCCUAAAUCUAGGUCAAUUAAGUGGUGAUGAUUGCAGUUUUCGUAUUUUAUAUCAUUUGCUUUCUCCCAAAUUUGUUUAGCUUUGACAUGACAAGUGUGGAAUUUGCCAGCAAACAUUUUAUCUCGAUUGUUGAAAACAUUCUAAUCUGGGUCUUUGCCAUUACUGAGGCAAGCUAUGAUUGGAUUUGUUUGACGAUGAGAGAGAGCACGCUUGUCAGCAUCCAUGAAACAGUCAGGAGUGUUUACGAGCGUGCUCCCUCUCAUCGUCAUACAAUCGAUCUAAUCUUGUGCACCGGCCUUUCGCAUACAAACUAGUUGGUGAUCAUAAAUUGUGCUAGUUAGUAUUUAUGUGUCAAUCUCAAUGUUCUUUUCGUAAAGGCUCAUCAUUUGCCUUUUCAUGGUCGAUAUCAUUUUUCUGAUAUAAAAUUUAAAUGUUGAAGAAUUAGAGAACAGUCAUUGGUUAGAGUUGAUCUCUGAGUAGAUCAAUCCACAUGGAUGAAGUUCUUUAGGAAAAUCAAAAUAUUUUGCCUCAAUAUAAACAUUCAGUCAUUACUUUUUACAUAACUAAUUGUCUGAACUCAUCAAACCUUUGCCUAAUCUAUUAUCACUUGAAAAAUCAAAAGUUUCUUAACAUUUCUAUGUAAUCAUUUUUAAGGAAUAAGAACAAAUGACUGGCAAAGGCGAGGUGUGGUGGAGAUUAAGUUGAUGAACAGUCUGCAAGAUUGUAAAAGGCUACCUUAAGGCACGCUUUCUGCCUAGGCAUAGGCUAAAUGCAGCGAUGGCUCUGGUAAAAGCAAGCAGGCACAAAAAUUGCACAGGAGGAGGGAAAAGCUUAAGCCUCAGUAAAUCUGCUGUAGUUCAGUUGAUGUAGAACUCAGGCUCCUUGCAAUUAUGCAAGUCUGAUGUAGUUCAGUAGAGCUUAGUUGAUAAGUCCUCAGGUUUUGGAUUUCUUCAGUGUUCAUGGGAUCUAAAUGGAAAUGUUCCCUAUAAAAUAUUUGUUGGAAGCUGCUGUUCAAGCAAUGCAUGGUUGUGAAUUCUAAUCCCAACUGAAACCCAGGCUUAAAGGUCUUUUGUGCAUGCUGGAUGAUUGUCUAAACGGCGGGAGUUUAACAACAGUAGGAAUGUGACAGACGAAGACAAAUAUGCCCGGUACAAAUAUAUAACGGACGUUCCAAGUUAAAGGAUAUCAGGCGUGCUGGAGACUAUUUCAGCCUUUCAAGUUUAUUUGCAUCUUUUCGUAUGUGGCGGUGGGACAGGUUUCCUUUCCAAUCUUGGAUGACAAUCUUGUGAUGGAGCACUGUGACCGUUGGAUGCCCUAAACGUCCUUAAGACCAUACCUAGUGCAUCCUGUUGUAGGUUAUGGCAUGUAAACAUCUCUAUAUUCGGGAAUCUUGAGUUUUGUUUUCCAAUACCAAGUGCCCCAAAAUCUGUAACCUGAACUAAAAAGGGAGAAUUCCAUAUCUCCAACCCUUCAAUGCAGAAUAUGAAAAUCCUGAAAUUCAAAAAUCCUAA